rnacentral:rRNA from 1 species
GACGUAGGGCGCGAGCGUUGUCCGGAUUUAUUGGGCGUAAAGAGCGUGUAGGCGGCCUGGAAGGUCCGUUGUGAAAACUCGAGGCUCAACCUCGAGACGCCGAUGGAAACCACCUGGCUAGAGUCCGGAAGAGGAGAGUGGAAGUUCCUGGUGUAGCGGUGAAAUGACGUAGAUAUCAGGAGGAACACCGGUGGUGUAAACGGCUUCUGGACCAUAACUGACGCUGAGGCACGAAAGCGUGGGUAGCAAACAGG